rnacentral:rRNA from 1 species
UACGGGGGGGGGCAAGCGUUGUUCGGAAUUACUGGGCGUAAAGGGCUCGUAGGCGGCCAACUAAGUCAUACGUGAAAUCCCUCAGCUUAACUGGGGAACUGCGUGUGAUACUGGAUGGCUUGGAUUUGGGAGAGGGAUGCGGAAUUCCAGGUGUAGCGGUGAAAUGCGUAGAUAUCUGGAGGAACACCGGUGGCGAAGGCGGCAUCCUGGACCAAUAUUGACGCUGAGAAGCGAAAGCUAGGGGAGCAAACGGG